GAGCCGGCGGGCCCGCGGCGGGGCGGCGGAGAGGGCGGCCGGCGGGACGAAGGGCCGGGCCUCGGGCUGCAGGUGCCGUGCCGGCGGCCUGGAGGGGACGACCCGGCCCGGGGGCGCUCGGGCCCGUGCGGUGGCUCCCGGGAGGAGGAGACGGGGCGGGAGCGGGCGGGGGCUCGGGCGCCGCUGCUCGUGGCGGGGCCUUUGGAGGGGUGCGGCGGGCAAUCAGCGGAGGAGGUGCGAGGAGAGGACCCCGUGCGGUCCACUGUCCCCGGCCGGGCAGUGGCAGACGAGGGCGCAGGCAUCGCGCCUCUGCCCGAGAGCAGGGGCAGGCAGUGAGGCGGGGAAGGGAGUGCGGUGCCGAGGGCGCCCAGGGCUGCGCUCCCGGACGCCGACGCGGCCCCUCGGCCGGCCGGGCCCCCGCAGGCCUGGGGACGUAUGCAAUGACGGGAGAGGCUCGAGUGUUGGAUGUUCCGGAUUCGCGUUUGCUCUGUGGCCCUGGCUGUGUACCUCUCUGAUGACAGCCGCCAGCCCGUUCUCUCCUCCUGAGACCUCAUUGCCACUCCCCUGCCCUGCCUCGUUCCUUGAUGCCACAGCUGGGAGAUUCUCCCACCCCACACUGGCCUCUUCACCAAGGAGAAGACAGCACAGGAGGGAUGAAGAGCUCAGGCUCCAACUCCCCAGGCUAGGGGUGUCAGGGGGGCACCGGGGCUGGGCCAGGGGCCACAGGGCCGACAGGUUUCCGUGACUCCAAUGUCAGCCACUCUUGACGGGCCUGGAUCUCAUCGGGCUGCCUGCUUAGUUGUGCCCCUCUGGGUGAGGUAUUGGCUCCUCUGAGCCUCAGUUCCGUGGGGAGGGCGCGUGGGUGGUGAUCUCAGCCUGAUGGGGAUACUGUGAGGACUCAAGAAGAGAAGUACCAAGUGUGGGGUAUCAACUGUGCAUGCAGAGUGGUGAGCAUCCUCAUGCUGGCCUCCUCUGCCCUCUCCCCAAACCACCCCCUCCCUCUUCUCUGGCGAUGGUAAGAGAGGGCUGGGGGCACAGCUGAGGGCAUGGGUGCUGUAUGAGAAUAGGGCGUUUGGUGGCAGUAUAAUGGAAUGCUGAUGCAGUGGCUCUCAGCCCUCUUCAUCCAGGCAUCUCCCAGAGCACCAGCAGCUAGACCCUUGUGCUCAGGCAAGGGACUGGAAAGCUCUUCUUUGGAAGUCUGACCAGCCCUAAAGCCUAAAGGAAAGGCCUGACCCUCGCCCCCCGCAGAGUCCCCCAGAUCAGCUAGCAGUGACUCUCAGCAUCAAGCCCCACCAUGUGCUCAGAUCUUUCCCAUCACCUUGGCUCUGACCAGACAGACAUGGCGAAGAAACUAAGACAAUCAAACAGAAAAUUGCAUCUUGAAAGAAACAGACUAUGAGGAGAAGGAAAUUUCAAAA